GGACUGUCGUAAGCUAUACAUGCAAGUCGAGCGCAGGAAUAAACAGAACCCUUCGGGGUGAUGUUUAUGGAAUGAGCGGCGGACGGGUGAGUAACACGUGGGCAACCUGCCUGUAAGAUCGGGAUAACUCGCGGAAACGUGAGCUAAUACCGGAUAACACUUUUCAUCUCAUGGUGAGAAGAUAAAAGACGGUUUCGGCUGUCACUUACAGAUGGGCCCGCGGCGCAUUAGCUAGUUGGUGAGGUAACGGCUCACCAAGGCGACGAUGCGUAGCCGACCUGAGAGGGUGAUCGGCCACACUGGGACUGAGACACGGCCCAGUCUCUACGGGAGCCAGGGAUUCCAUGGACAAUCGUCCGUCAGAGCAACCCCGAAUGAGUGAGUGAGGUUUUCGCAUCGUGAAACUUUGUUGUUGGAGCAGAACAAGUUGGGUAGUGACUGAUCCAACGCUGACGGUAUCUAAUCAGGAAGUCAUGGCUAACUACGUGCCAGCAGCCGCAGUCAUACGUACGUGGCAAGCGGUGUACGGAAUUAUUAGGCGUAAAGCGCUCGCAUGCCGUCUUUUAAGUCUGAUGUGUAAGCCCACGGCUUAACCGUGGAGGGUCAUUGGAAACUUGGAGGACUUGAGUACAGAAGAGGAGAGUGGAAUUCCACGUGUAGCCGGUGAAUUGCGUAGAGAUGUGGAGGAACACCAGUGGCGAAAGCGACUCUCUGGUCUGUAACUGACGCUGAGGAGCGAAAGCGUGGGUAGCGAACAGGAUUAGAUACCCUGGUAGUCCACGACCGUAAACGAUGAGUGCUACGUGUUUAGGGGGUUUCCGCCCCUUUAGUGCUGAAGUUAACGCAUUAAGCACUCCGCCUGGGGAGUACGGCCGCAACGGCUGAAACUCACAAGAAUUGACCGGGGCUCGCCACAAGCUGGUUGGAGCAUGUGGUUUGAGUCGAAGCAACGCGUAAGAUCGUUACCAAGUCCUGACAUCCUCUGAUACCUCUAGUAGAUAGAGUUUUUCCAUCAGGGACAGAGUCCGACCAGGUGGUGGCAUGGCUGGUCGUCAGCGUCCUGUUCCGUGCAGAUGGUGGGGGUUAGGUCCCGCACCCGAGAGCAACCCUAGACUUUAGUUGCCUGCCCUCCGUUCAGUACUCUACUCUAAGGCGACUGCCGGUGACAAACCGGAGGAAGGUGGGGAUGACGUCAAAUCAUCAUGCCCCUUAUGACCUGGGCUACACACGUGCUACAAUGGAUGGAACAAAGGGAAGCGAACCCGUGAGGUCAAGCCAAUCCCAUAAAACCAUUCUCAGUUCGGAUUGUAGGCUGCAACUCGCCUACAUGAAGCCGGAAUCGCUAGUAAUCGCGGAUCAGCAUGCCGCGGUGAAUACGUUCCCGGGCCUUGUACACACCGCCCGUCACACCACGAGAGUUGGUAACACCCGAAGUCGGUGAGGUAACCUUUUGGAGCCAGCCGCCGAAGGUGGGACUAAUGAUUGGGGUGAAGUCGUAACAAUGCAGACAACCC
rnacentral:rRNA from 1 species